GAAACGCGAUAGUUAAUGUGAAUUGCAUAAUUCAGUGAAUCAUCGAGUCUUUGAACGCACAUUGCGCCCAUAGGUAUUCCUUUGGGCAUGUCUGUUUGAGCGUCAUUACAACCCUCAGCUAACCGCUGGUUUUGAACCUGAACGGGUGACACCGCGCCGGUUUUAAAGUUGUAAGCUCUGCUGGCCGCUCUGCCCAACCAGAACAUAGUAAGCACUACUUGUCCGGGUGAAGCUGAACGGUACGGCCUGAACAAAACCUACCCACUCUCAAGGUUUGACCUCAGAUCAGACAAGGAUACCCGCUGAACUUAAGC
rnacentral:misc_RNA from 1 species